rnacentral:rRNA from 1 species
UACGGAGGGUGCAAGCGUUGUCCGGAUUUAUUGGGUUUAAAGGGUACGUAGGCGGGUCUUUAAGUCCGUGGUGAAAGCCUGCAGCUUAACUGCAGAACUGCCAUGGAUACUGGAGAUCUUGAAUUCAGUUGAGGUAAGCGGAAUUUAUGAUGUAGCGGUGAAAUGCAUAGAUAUCAUAAAGAACACCUAUUGCGAAGGCAGCUUGCUGGACUUGGAUUGACGCUAAGGUACGAAAGCGUGGGGAGUGAACAGG